UACGUAGGGGGCAAGCGUUGUCCGGAAUCAUUGGGCGUAAGAAGCGUGUAGGCGGCCAGAUAAGUCCGCUGUGAAAUCUCGAAGGCCUCAACCUCGAGCCUGGUCGGUGGAAACCGUAAGGCUAGAGUCCGGAAGAGGAGAGUGGAAUUCCUGGUGUAGCGGUGAAAUGCGCAGAUAUCAGGAAGAACACCCGUGGCGAAGGCGGCUCUCUGGGACGGUACUGACGCUGAGACGCGAAAGCGUGGGGAGCGAACAGG
rnacentral:rRNA from 1 species